rnacentral:rRNA from 1 species
AUUGAACGCUGGCGGCAUGCCUUACACAUGCAAGUCGAACGGUAACAGGUCUUCGGAUGCUGACGAGUGGCGAACGGGUGAGUAAUACAUCGGAACGUGCCCGAUCGUGGGGGAUAACGCAGCGAAAGCUGUGCUAAUACCGCAUACGAUCUACGGAUGAAAGCGGGGGGUCGCAAGACCUCGCGCGGACGGAGCGGCCGAUGGCAGAUUAGGUAGUUGGUGGGAUAAAAGACUUACCAAGCCGACGAUCUGUAGCUGGUCUGAGAGGACGACCAGCCACACUGGGACUGAGACACGGCCCAGACUCCUACGGGAGGCAGCAGUGGGGGAAUUUUGGACAAUGGGGGAAACCCUGAUCCAGCCAUGCCGCGUGCAGGAUGAAGGGCCUUCGGUUGUAACUGCUUUGUACGGAACGAAAAGGUCUUUCUAAUAAGAGGCGUCAUGACGGUACCGUAAGAAUAAGCACCGGCUAACUACGUGCCAGCAGCCG